UCACAACAACCUUUUUUUUGUUGAUAUUAAAUGUGUAUAGCUUCAAUAGUUUAUGCUCAGUAACAAUAAAUCAUUUGUUUCAUCGGUCAGUCUUAGCACUUGUUAUUGAAACGAAUGUAAGCAUAGAAGAGCCUUUAUAAAUUUGUGUUACUUUUGAAUAUUACAACUAACAUGAACUAAAAGUUGUCAGCAGUUGUUUCAAAGAUGCCAGAAAAAGUUUUGUUGGUGAAGUGGCACGUUAUUUUAGUGGACGGAAUCGGGUUGGAUAUUGCCGCAGAGUGCUUUUAUAUACCUUAAGUUAUAAGCGUAACAUUGUAUCUGUAAUACCC
rnacentral:misc_RNA from 1 species